rnacentral:rRNA from 1 species
UUUAUUGGAGAGUUUGAUCCUGGCUCAGGAUGAACGCUGGCGGCGUGCCUAAUACAUGCAAGUCGAGCGAAUGGAUUAAGAGCUUGCUCUUAUGAAGUUAGCGGCGGACGGGUGAGUAACACGUGGGUAACCUACCCAUAAGACUGGGAUAACUCCGGGAAACCGGGGCUAAUACCGGAUAAUAUUUUGAACUGCAUGGUUCGAAAUUGAAAGGCGGCUU